rnacentral:rRNA from 1 species
GACGAACGCUGGCGGCGUGCCUAAUACAUGCAAGUCGAGCGAACGGACGAGAAGCUUGCUUCUCUGAUGUUAGCGGCGGACGGGAGAGAAACACGAGGAUCACCUCCCUAUCAGACUGGGAUCACUUCGGGACACCGGAGCUUAUCCCGGAUAAUAUUUUGCACCGCAUGGUUCAAAAGUAAAAGACGGUCUUGCUGUCACUUAUCGCUGCUUCCGAGCUGCUUUAGCUAGUUGGUAAGGUAAAGGCCUACCAAGGCAACGAUGCAUGGCCGACCUGAGGGGGGGAUCGGCCACACUGGAACGUGGCCACGGUCCAGGCUCCUACGGGAGGCAGCAGUAGCGAAUCUUCCGCAAUGGGCGAAAGCCUGACGGAGCAACGCCGCGUGAGUUAUGAAGGUCUUCCGAGCGUAAAACUCUGUUAUUAGGGAAGAACAUAUGUGUAAUGAACUGUGCACAGCUUGACGGUACCGAAUCAGAAAGCCACGGCUAACUACGUG